rnacentral:rRNA from 1 species
UUCCGCCUACGGGAGGCAGCAGUGAGGAAUAUUGGUCAAUGGGCGGAAGCCUGAACCAGCCAAGUCGCGUGAGGGAAGACUGCCCUAUGGGUUGUAAACCUCUUUUGUCAGGGAGCAACGCCGGCUACGUGUAGCCGGACUGAGAGUACCUGAAGAAAAAGCAUCGGCUAACUACGUGCCAGCAGCCGCGGUAAUACGUAGGUGGCAAGCGUCAUCCGGAUUUACUGGGUGUAAAGGGCGUGUAGGCGGGAAAGCAAGUCAGAUGUGAAAACCAUGGGCUCAACCUGUGGCCUGCAUUUGAAACU